rnacentral:misc_RNA from 1 species
UAAUUCGUUAGGUUGGCAAACCGGAAAAAGGGGAAGUGUCAGGUAGGCCAACCGUCGAAUGGUCCCCUCCACGUGGUCGUCCCGGAUGACGACGGCAACGACAUUCGGGUCGUGACGAUCGUGGCGAGUGCACGCUAAGCUAGCUCUGUGACGAACGCACCGCGUUUCUUAGAAUAAAAUUGUGUCUACUUAAAUUCUAAUCCGCUUACAUCUAAGUAAUCACAGUUGAUUUUCGUAUUGUUUGAAUUGGAAUCUAAUUAUAAAAAUCUUAUCCAACGUUACCAAGUUUUAUUUUGGAAUUCGUUUCGGUUUUUAUCGAAAAAUAGUUGUGUGCCAAAAAUGGAUGAAAUCGAUAAUAAUGGGAACCCAGACGGGGACCCGACAUCCGAAGUGGUGGGAUCCAAUCGCCCGCAAUCUCCGCGCCUGCCGGCAAGACGAAGUGGUGAUCAAAAGUGGCGGCUAUUGAUGGAACAGCAGAAUCGGAAUUUCUUAGCUCUAUUGGAAACUUUGAACAAGCCGCAACAGUCAACAUCAAAGGAAAUUCGUCUGCCAGAAUUUGAUCCUGACAAACCAGAUGUCGACGCACGAGCCUGGGUAUCCACCGCCGACAUGUGCAUCGAUGAUCCACAAUGCCAAGGAACACCUUUAAUGAUGGCACUGAGUCGAGCGCUUAAGAAGCAAGCGUCCACCUGGCUUGCCACCGUCGCCUUCCCAGGAAUGAAAUGGAGCGACUUCAAAGAACUUUUUAUUACAAGGUAUGACUCAUGUGAAACAGCAGCUGCUUUCUUAAUUAAUCUGAAUUCGAAGAAACCAGACGAAAAAGAAUGCCUCGCUUCCUACGCAUCCGGUUUAAUGUCGUCACUUAUGUCGAGAUGGAAAGGACUUACUACCGAGCAAAUAGCCAUCGCUACUGUUUUGAAUCACUUAUCACGUUUUGAGCCACGUGUUCAACGGUUGUCAUUUACAACGGAUAUCAAGACCCGAAAUCAACUACAACAGGAGCUUAAGGCAGUCUCGUUUUUGAAACGGAAAUCUUCAUCGAGUAAUGACGACGAUGAGCCUGAGCCUAAGAAGAGUCAAAUAGCUGGAGUCAACACAAACAUUAAGUGCUACUUUUGUGGAAAAUUAGGACACAAGUCAAAUCAGUGUUUUUCAAAAAGAAAAGAAGAAAACCGACUGAAGAUUGACGCUAUCAGGAAGGAUCCAACUGCAGAGAGGCCAAUCACUUGCUUCUCGUGCCGCGAGCAGGGCCACUACGCAAGCAGCUGUCCGAAGAGGAGUGCACCAGGGGAGAGCAGCACCGAGCCGACAGCCGCCAAGAAGAAACGAGUGGACUUAUGCGUCGUUGCUAACCCAACUGCACUCAUGCGACUAUCCGGUGAGCACUUUUCAUUCUGUUAUGACUCUGGAGCUGAAUGUUCACUAGUCAAAGAAUCUGUUGCAUGCAAGUUUAGCGGGAAACGACUUCAUGACGUUGUGACUAUGACUGGUAUAGGGCAGACUGACGUAAACUCUACUACACAAAUAUUGACGAUUCCGAUGCACAAACAGAUUCUUUGUCUUUAGAACUGAAUUGAACUUGUAUUUAUGUUGGUAUAGCUAAUGUAAGUGUAAUUAUUUAUUGGAUAUUAAAUAUUAGCUGGUUGUUAUUAUCGGUCGCCCUUGGAGGUUGUCCAUGAGGUUAUGUCGAUGACCAUCGGUCGCCUCUAGGGGUUGUCCAGGAAAAGCCGGAUGGAGGCGAAUAUCGGUCGUCUUUAUGGGUUGUCCAUGGGGUUGCCAAGAGGUAACCCAUCGGUCGCCUAUAGAGAUUGUCCAGGAGAAGCCGGAUGGAGGCGAAUGUCGGUCGUCCUUAUGGGUUGUCCACGGGGUUGUCAGCAAGAGCAACCAUCGGUCGCCUGUACGUCACACGAGGACGUGUGAGAUGUCAAGAUGGCCGUGUCGACGAGUUAGCUAGUAUCGCAACUCGUACUAGAUUUAAGGGUCAAUUAAUUACUCUCUGAGCAGAGCAGCGCCAUCUAUGUUAACCUGCAUUGAUUUCUUGCCAAUUGAUUUUAUCGCCAUCUACCGGUGACCGCUAGAAACGCCAAGCGGUAAGCUUGGGUGUGGUCGAUACAGAGCUAGCGCUGGUAAUUCGUUAGGUUGGCAAACCGGAAAAAAGGGGAAGUGUCAGGUAGGCCAACCGUCGAAUGGUCCCCUCCACGUGGUCGUCCCGGAUGACGACGGCAACGACAUUCGGGUCGUGACGAUCGUGGCGAGUGCACGCUAAGCUAGCUCUGUGACGAACGCACCGCGUUUCUUAGAAUAAAAUUGUGUCUACUUAAAUUCUAAUCCGCUUACAUCUAAGUAAUCACAGUUGAUUUUCGUAUUGUUUGAAUUGGAAUCUAAUUAUAAAAAUCUUAUCCAACGUUACCAAGUUUUAUUUUGGAAUUCGUUUCGGUUUUUAUCGAAAAAUAGUUGUGUGCCAAAAAUGGAUGAAAUCGAUAAUAAUGGGAACCCAGACGGGGA